GAAAAUGAUCUGGCUGUGACAUCUGUUGAUCACCAGGAUUGAUUUGGCUCAUCUGAUUGGCGAGGCAGGUGUCUCUUUCCUGCUCUCUGCUCCACUCAAGCAAGCCGCUUCCAGAGCUCCAGGUUAGGUUGGUGGAAGAGGACCAUCAGUCUUCAGUCAAGGGCAUAGAGUAGCCACACUCCCCUGCUAGAACCUUUUGUUAAGCUCUAAAGAAGGCCUUCAAGUAUGUGGUGUUUGCCUUUAAUUCCACUACU
rnacentral:snRNA from 1 species